GGAAGUUUAUGCUCAGCUGACAGAACAUGAGACUCUUAAUCUCAGGGUCGUGGGUUUGAGCCUCACUUUGGGUGAAAGAUUCCU